AAUUUUCUAUAAAGAUUUUUCAGAUAAAGACGAUAAACAUAUGGACAGAAAAAAAAAAGAUUUAACCUCUUUGAGUCUCAGUAUUCCCACCUCUAAAUGGGGUCACUAAUAUUUCUAACCCAGGCCUCUUAUAAGGAUCAAGUGAAAAAAUUUAUGUGCAAGGAACUGACCCAGGGCCUGGCAAAUAAUAGUCACAAGUUUGAAUCCGAAUCAGUAUGCAAAGAUAAGAGCAAUUUUUAAAUAUUCUGAACAAUUAAAAGGAUAAUUAAUGACAGGCGCAGUGGCUCACACCUGUAAUCCCAGCACUCUAAGAGGCGGAGGCAGGCAGAUUGCUUGAGCCUAGGAGUUCAAGACCAGCCUGGGCAACACGGUGAAACCCUGUCUCUACAAAAAAUACAAAAAUUAGGCCGGGCACAGUGGCUCCUGCCUGUAAUCCCAGCACUUUGGGAGGCUGAGGCGGGUGGAUCACCUGAGGUCAGGAGUUCGAGACCAGCCUGGCCAACAUGGUGAAACCCCGUCUCUACUAAAAAUACAAAAAAAUUAGCCAGGUGUGGUGGCACACUCCUAUAAUCCCAGCUACUCAGGAGGCUGAGGCAGGAGAAUCGCUUGAACCUGGGAGGUUGAGGUUGCAGUGGGCCGAGAUCACGCCAUUGCACUCCAGCCUGGGCGACAGAGCAAGACUCCAUCUCAAAAAAAAAAAAAAUUAGCUGGACAUGGGGGCAUGGGCUGGUAGUCCCAGCUACCGGGGGUUCUGAAGCAGGAGGACUGCAUGAGCCCAGGAGGUCGAGGCUGCAGUGAACCGUGAUCAUGCUACCGCACUCCAGCCUGGGUGACAGAGCAAAACUCUGUCUCUAUAAAUAAAAAAUUAAAUUAAAAUAAAAGUAUAAUUAGAUGUAAGGCAUUAACUGGAAUGAAAACAUGAUAAAUGAUUUCUAUAUCAAAUAAAUGCAAAUUAAACCCUUUUUUUAUUUACUAAAUUAGCCCAAAUUAAA
rnacentral:lncRNA from 1 species